rnacentral:rRNA from 1 species
UUAAAGAAUUCCGUGUUCGAUGGGGAUGCGUUCCAUUAGAUUGUUGGCGGGGUAACGGCCCACCAAGUCUUCGAUGGAUAGGGGUUCUGAGAGGAAAGGUCCCCCACACUGGUACUGAGACACGGACCAGACUCUACGGGAGGCAGCAGUGAGGAAUAUUGGUCAAUGGGCGCGAGCCUGAACCAGCCAAAGUAGCGUGAAGGAUGACUGCCCUAUGGGUUGUAAACUUCUUUUAUACGGGAAUAAUAGACGCCACGUGUGGCGUUCUGCAUGUACCGUUUUGAAUAAGCAUCGGCUAACUCCGUGCCAGCAGCCGCGGUAAUACGGAGGAUGCGAGCGUUAUCCGGAUUUAUUGGGUUUAAAGGGUGCGUAGGCGGACUGAUAAGUCAGCUGUGAAAGUUUGCGGCUCAACCGUAAAAUUGCAGUUGAAACUGUUAGUCUUGAGUACAGUAGAGGUAGGCGGAAUUCGUGGUGUAGCGGUGAAAUGCUUAGAUAUCACGAAGAACUCCAAUUGCGAAGGCAGCUUUCUGGACUGUAACUGACGCUGAGGCACGAAAGUGUGGGUAUCAAACAGGAUUAGAUACCCUGGUAGUCCACACAGUAAACGAUGAAUACUCGCUGUUUGCGAUACACUGCAAGCGACCACGCGAAAGCAUUAAGUAUUCCACCUGGGGAGUACGCGGGGACGGUGAAACUCAAAGGAAUCACGG